rnacentral:rRNA from 1 species
GAUGAACGCUGGCGGCGUGCCUAAUACAUGCAAGUCGAGCGAACGGACGAGAAGCUUGCUUCUCUGAUGUUAGCGGCGGACGGGUGAGUAACACGUGGAUAACCUACCUAUAAGACUGGGAUAACUUCGGGAAACCGGAGCUAAUACCGGAUAAUAUUUUGAACCGCAUGGUUCAAAAGUGAAAGACGGUCUUGCUGUCACUUAUAGAUGGAUCCGCGCUGCAUUAGCUAGUUGGUAAGGUAACGGCUUACCAAGGCAACGAUGCAUAGCCGACCUGAGAGAGUGAUCGGCCACACUGGAACUGGGACACGGUCCAGACUCCUACGGGAGGCAGCAGUCGGGAAUCUUCCGCAGUGGGCGAAAGCCUGACGGAGCAACGCCGCGUGAGUGAUGAAGGUCUUCGGAUCGUAAAACUCUGUUAUUAGGGAAGAACAUAUGUGUAAGUAACUGUGCACAUCUUGACGGUACCUAAUCAGAAAGCCACGGCUAACUACGUG